GUAUUCUUCUAGAGGGCGGGUUUACAACACUCAGAGAGAGUUACCGGACCUGAGAAACACCACCGCCGCCGCCUCUCGGCGACCCGCAAACCUUUUCUACAACUGCGGCGAAAAGGGCUUCUUAACUCGAGAAAACCAAGCGAAAAAUGUGGAGACAAGCCUUGGGGGGCGCUAUGCAACCGUGGCGCAUGGUAGUAUCCCGUCGUUCUUCUUCCUCGAGCAGCGUGUCCUCCGCCGUCAACUCUAUCUUGCUCCGCUCCCUCAAAGAACACUACCUCGAAAUCUCCAAAAUGACUCCUCCCCCCAAAGUGAACCCUCCCUCGCCCUUCGAAAUCGUGAAAGGAGCACUUGAUAGCAGAGGUCCUAUUCUGAAACGGGCCUACGGCGACGAGGAGAUAAGUCUUCAAGUAAUGCGGUUGGCUAACAUUAUUCGUGGUGGUGGAGAUGAGGAUGGUGAGGAUGGGAUUAACCAGUUGUUCCUUCAUGUGGGUAUCUCGAAGCCUGGACAAAAGGACUCUUUGCAUUUUCUGUGUGGGUUGUACCCUGAUGCAUUGGGGAUUCACUCUGUUUCAUUGAGGCCAAAGGUCGACGCUUCUGGUUUUCUUGUAGCUCCCAUCAAAUACAAUGGCCCUGCUUUCCAGUAUAGAGAAGGGUUAAACUGAGGGACGAUGAUAACUAUGGAUGGAUGUUUUCUCCUUUUGAAGGUUGUAGUUCCAAAGGAAUGCAAUUGAAGAAGAUGGAUGGAUGUGAUAGACUCAAGUAUCUUUUAGCAAGACUUGCUAAGUUGAGUUUGAUGGGCAAAAGUGGUUUGUGUAAUCAAUUGUCAUAGGGCCAAUUAAAGAACUAAAUUAUCUUGGGCCACAUUUUCUUAGCCUUAUAAGAAGUAGAAAAUAUUAAGUAUAUAUUUUUGGGAUGGACAAGGGUUGAGGCUAAGUUCUCCAUAGACUUGAGCAUAGGAAGAGAAAUGAAGGAAACAAAAGUACUCAUGGUCCUCAUGGAUAUGAAGGUAAUCUAUAUUUGGUUAUUCAUUUUGGCUUGGGGUUGCAUCUCUACGUGGGGGCUAAAAUUCUUGCACUUAGAUUGCAUAAAGUUGUUUGGCCCGGUGGUCUUAGACUAUCAACGUGCUUUGGUUGGGAUAUGAAAAGAGCUUUCUUAUUGUUAUCGAGUGUGGUGACUUCGGGUUGCUGAGGUGGAGUUCUUGCAGUGAUUCGUGAGCUGGAUUUGGGAAAGCAUGCCCUUUUUGGAAUAAACAAAAGAGAUCUUGAUGAAAAGAUGAGAGAUGCUCUGCAUAGUUACAUCGAAGAGCGAGGCAUAAGCGAGAGUCUUUUCCCCUUUCUUCAAGCUUGGCUCUAUGUGAAGGAUCACCGAA